AGCGAACGCUGGCGGCGUGCCUAACACAUGCAAGUCGCACGAGAAGGGGGCCGCAAGGCCCUUGGUACAGUGGCGAACGGGUGAGUAACACGUGGGUAACCUGCCCUUGGGUUCGGAAUAACCUGUCGAAAGGCGGGCUAAUACCGAAUGACAUCGCGUGGUCUUCGGACCGUGCGAUCAAAGCUGACCUCUUCAUGAAAGUUGGCGCCUGGGGAGGGGCCCGCGGCCCAUUAGCUAGUUGGGAGGU
rnacentral:rRNA from 1 species